rfam:Loxodonta africana unplaced genomic scaffold scaffold_10, whole genome shotgun sequence.
GGAGACUUGGUUUCACAGUGGUUAAGCACUUGGUUGCUAACCAAAAGGUGGGUGGUUUGAAUCCACCAGCCUUCG